rnacentral:rRNA from 1 species
UCAUAAACAGAAAGAGCAAACCUAGAAAACUGAAACAUCUUAGUAUCUAGAGGAAUAAAAAGCAAACGCGAUUUCCUGAGUAGUGGCGAGCGAAAAGGAAACAGCCUAAACCGUUCUUUUAAGAGCGGGGUUGUGGGAGAGUUCCCUAAAGGGGAAGAGAUAGUAGGAGAAAUAACCGAGAUUUAUACCUUAGAAGGUGAAAGUCCUGUAACUGAGCUAUUUGUUUUCUUCGAACUCUAUCCCGAGUAGCAUGAGGCACGUGAAACCUUGUGUGAAUCUGCGAGGACCACCUCGUAAGGCUAAAUACUCCUGAAUGACCGAUAGUGGAAUAGUACCGUGAGGGAAAGGUGAAAAGCACUCCUAGCGGGGGAUGAAAUAGAUCAUGAAACCAUAAGCUUACAAGCAGUGGGAGAAAACAAAACACUAUUUUGAUUUGACCGCGUGCCUGUUGAAGAAUGAGCCGGCGACUUAUAGGCGGUGGCCUGGUUAAAGAAUUCCUGAAGCCAUAGCGAAAGCAAGUCAUACCACGGCAUACGUCACCGUUUAUAGACCCGAACCCGGGUGAUCUACCCAUGGCCAGGAUGAAAUUUGCAUACAACCAAAUAGAGGUCCGAACCGACUGGUGUUGAAAAACCAACGGAUGAGCUGUGGAUAGGGGUGAAAUGCCACUCGAACCCGGAGCUAGCUGGUUCUCCCCGAAAUGCGUUGAGGCGCAGCGGUUGAUUAGACUACCUAGGGGUAAAGCACUGUUUGGGUGCGGGCUGCGAAAGCGGUACCAAAUCGAGGCAAACUCUGAAUACUAGGUAUAGCAUCAAAUCAGCCAGUAAGACCUUGGGGGAUAAGCUCCAUGGUCAAAAGGGAAACAGCCCAGAUCACCAGUUAAGGCCCCUAAAUGACCGCUCAGUGGUAAAGGAUGUGGAAGUGCAGAGACAGCUAGAAGGUUUGCCCAGAAGCAGCUACCCUUGGAAGAGUGCGUAAUAGCUCACUGAUCGAGCGCUUCCGCGCCGAAAAUAAAUGGGACUAAGCGGUCUGCCGACACUGUGAGAUGUUCUAUGUGUAACAUCGGUAGGGGAGCGUUCUGCUCGAUGAAAGGAUCCACUUUUAUCAGAGUUUGCAUGAGUGUUGUCUCUAUACUUAUUUGCUAUAGAUUGAAUAUUCAUCAAGCAGAGCAGAAGUGAGAAUGUCGGCUUAAGUAACGAAAACAUCGGUGAGAAUCCGGUGCCCCGAAAACCCAAGGGUUCCUACGCUAGGUUCGUCCACGUAGGGUAAGUCAGGGCCUUAGAUCAAGCCAAAUGGCGUAGUCGAUGGUCAACAGGUCAAGAUUCCUGUACUAUUUUUUCUUGAUCCUAGAGGGACGAAGUAAUACAAUAUAGGGUAAUAGUUCCGCAAUGGCAGGAUAAGAUAGGGCAAGCUAAGACGAAGGCUUUGACUUUUUAAAAAAUUGCAUUGCAGGGUUUAUGCUGUUUUGUCUGUGUUAUUCUUAUUGUACUUCCUAGAAAAGCUUGAUGGAUGUUGAUGUUAACAUCUCACGAUGACGCAAAAAACAAGAGAAAAUAUCUGUACCGUACACCGACACAGGUGGGUAGGUUGAGAAUACCUAGGGGCGCGAGACAACUCUCUCUAAGGAACUCGGCAAAAUAGCCCUGUAACUUCGGGAUAAGGGGUGCCUUUUGAUCCAGAGGCUGCAAAUGUUUUUUUUUAGUUGGAUCAAAAGAAAAGAUUAACAAUUGGAUCAAAAGAAAAGAUUAACAAAAAGACAAUUGAAGUGUUUGUGGUUAGAAGGUUGCAGUGACCAGACCCAGGCGACUGUUUAACAAAAACACAGGUCUCCGCAAAGUCGUAAGACGAAGUAUGGGGGCUGACGCCUGCCCAGUGCCGGAAGGUUAAGGAAGUUUGUUCCCUGAAACCAGGAACGCAGAUGACCGAAGCCCCGGUGAACGGCGGCCGUAACUAUGACGGUCCUAAGGUAGCGAAAUUCCUUGUCGGGUAAGUUCCGACCCGCACGAAAGGCGUAACGAUCUGGGUACUGUCUCGGAGAGAGACUCGGUGAAAUAGACUUGUCUGUGAAGAUGCGGACUACCUGCACCUGGACAGAAAGACCCUAUGAAGCUUUACUGUUUCUUGGGACUGGAUAUGGGUUUCUUAUGCGCAGCCUAGGUGGGAGGCAAUGAUAGAGUCUUUCCGGGGAUUUUUGAGCCACUCCUGAGAUACCACCCUUAAGAAACUAAGCUUCUAACUUUGCCCCUCGAAGAAGGCCCAAAGGACACUCCCAGGUAGACAGUUUCUAUGGGGCGUAGGCCUCCUAAAGAGUAACGGAGGCGUGCAAAGGUUUCCUCAGACUGGACGGAAAUCAGUCUUUGAGUGUAAGGGCAAAAGGAAGCUUGACUGCAAGACCUACAAGUCGAGCAGGGACGAAAGUCGGCCCUAGUGAUCCGACGGUACCGAGUGGAAGGGCCGUCGCUCCACGGAUAAAAGUUACUCUAGGGAUAACAGGCUGAUCUUCCCCAAGAGUUCAC